rnacentral:tRNA from 1 species
GGGCCUUUAGCUCAGUCGGUUAGAGCAGCUGACUCAUAAUCAGCAGGUCGUCAGUUCAAGCCUGACAGGGCCCA